rnacentral:rRNA from 1 species
CCAAUAGCGUAUAUUAAAGUUGUUGCAGUUAAAAAGCUCGUAGUUGAAUUUCGAGAUCGGUUUAUUGGUCGUGCUAUUGUACGUACUGGUAUUACCGGUUUCUCCUUUCUGACGAACCUUAAUGCCAUUAAUUUGGUGUUUUGGGAAAUCAGGACUGUUACUUUGAAAAAAUUAGAGUGUUUAAAGCAGGCUCACGCUUGAAUACAUUAGCAUGGAAUAACGGAAUAGGACGUUUGAUUCUAUUUUGUUGGUUUCUAGGAUCGACGUAAUGAUUAAUAGGGAUAGUUGGGGGCAUUAGUAUUCAAUUGUCAGAGGUGAAAUUCUUGGAUUUAUUGAAGACUAACUACUGCGAAAGCAUUUGCCAAGGAUGUUUUCAUUAAUCAAGAACGAAAGUUAGGGGAUCGAAGACGAUCAGAUACCGUCGUAGUCUUAACCAUAAACUAUGCCGACUAGGGAUCGGAUGAUGUUAAUUUUUUAAUGACUCAUUCGGCGCCUUACA